rnacentral:lncRNA from 1 species
AGACGAGGAAAAGUGAGAAGGUAACUUCAGAGGAGACAGCAGGGUUGAAUUGAACAGGAAAAGAUCAAAAGUACAGCCAGAAUCCCACUUGGUCUUUUUUCCAUUCUCCUUUAUUCCAUAAACACCUAGUUACAAGUUGCACAAAUCAAAAAAUAAAGGCAGAGAAGGGUGUAGGGAAGAUUCUUUUGAUGUGUGUGGGCAGGAGGAGGGAGAGAGUUAGGAACCAGUCUGCUCCUUCCACAGCCCUAGAUAGGGCUACGGCCCCUCAGUGGGGGCUCUGAGGAAGAGGAGUAGGAUGGGAAAGGUGAGGGGGUUUGAAGAUGGAGUGGCAG